UACAGAGGGUGCGAGCGUUAAUCGGAAUUACUGGGCGUAAAGCGCGCGUAGGCGGCUUUGCAAGUCGGGUGUGAAAUCCCCAGGCUUAACCUGGGAACUGCAUUCGAGACUGCAUUGCUAGAGUAUGGGAGAGGGAAGUGGAAUUCCCAGUGUAGAGGUGAAAUUCGUAGAUAUUGGGAAGAACACCGGUGGCGAAGGCGGCUAUCUGGACCGACAUUGACGCUGAGGCGCGAAAGCGUGGGGAGCAAACAGG
rnacentral:rRNA from 1 species